GGUAAUUGUCGGCCCCUCUGCCCCGUGGCUUCAUGGGGGUUGUAGUCCCCGUACUCUGGCGCACUGCCUGACUCUCCAUCCUACACCCUCCUUUGGCCCGCCCCCUCCCUUCGCGUGCAGCUGGAGGGGGCGGAGACUCAAUCAAUUACCGCUCUAGACUUAGAGGUACUAAUAGAAAGACUGCCGCAGAACCUCCAGGCCGGACUUCUAGUGAUUUACCAAAAAAGUUUUAUUGCUGUCGUUUGUCUGUAUAUCACAGCCAUUUCUGGGAAAGAAAAUCCUCGUCUCCUUCAGAUUGAGAAAUGCCAAUUUUGCCAAGAUGGCAGAGUAGAAGUAGGGGAAGCUCGAACCCCUCUGAGAAUCCUCUCCAACAACCCUAAAAAUAAGGCUUCGAAACAAGUAUUGGCGUGAAAGAACCAACCAGGGAUCCUAGGAAGCAACUUCCUGCAGAAAACCACUUGAAAGGCAGUGCUUGGUCCAGGAUUGUGGAAGAAGAUGGAAGAAGCUAAUCCAAGUCCACAUCUACUGACAGGGAAGCGCCAGUCUGGAUAAAAUAAGAUGCUACUUAAUUAGCUUCUGGUCCUGGUCUAGAGGGUCCCUGUGCAUGGUUGUCCUGAACCACUGAGAAAGCUUCUGUCAGAAGAGGCUGACUCAGCACCAUGAGAUUGUGCCCCAGUUGUCUGUUGGGACCCUCCCAAGCCCUCUUCUUGGGAGAACUGGAGUCCCCCUUUGAAGGGCCUGGCUGGAUGCAUCUAGCAAAAUUGGUAAGAAAGAGGCUGGAAGAAAACUGCCUGAGGUUGUAACUUUCAAUUUUCUUACUUUUUGUUCAAUCUUGGAGACCUUUGAAUUCUUUGUACCUGCAAAAAGUCAAAAGGCAGCUCAGUAAUGAGCUCAGCUUCCUUUGCUCCCCACUCCUGCCACUCAUAGUUUCAUUUUUCAAGUACUGGAAAGUUCAGCAGUCACAAAAUAGUAACAAAUUCAUGGUAUUUGAUAGUAGGUGGUAAUAGACAGUGUUGGGAGGGGGUGCGCAAGUUCUCUAAGACUCUUUCAUUCCCUGUUCCAUCUUCCCUUCUUUAUAGGGAAGCUAAGAUCUUGUAAAUAUCAGGUUUGUUAUUUAAUGCUUGACUUUAGGAGUAAUUUGUCAUCCUAGAAAUACAAGUGAAACAUGGAAUGAUGAAGGACAUGUUUUAAGCUUGGCAUCUUAUCUCCUUUCCAGGUUGUGGUAAAAUAGAACUAGUUUUGGCCAUUUAAGAACCUGAUGUCAGUUUUGUGAGCAAAACAGGAUAACUUACUUUCUCAUUAAUUUUGGGGGGCAAUGCUGGUAGAUUAGAUAUGAAAUAGGACACUAAAUUGUAGAAUAUCAUAAAUAUGAAUAUAGAACUGAAAGAAACUUUAGAUAUAAUCUAGUCUAGUCCCCUCUUUUUACAGAUGAGAAAUCUGAUGUUUAAGUUGGACAAAUGACUUGUUCUUAAUCAUACUGGUAGUCUCAGAGGUGGGAUAUUGUACCUAGUUUAUCUGACUCUAGAGUCUCUGCUCUUUUCAUUAUGUCAUGUAUAGGGCUCCAAAAAUAGUGUUUCAAAAAUUCAUGUUAUCAUUUGUAUGGGAACUUCUUUCACAGAUGUAGGUCACAAGCCCUCUAGACCACUGUAAGCAAUCUUUUAUUAUCCAUUAUCCAGGGAAACAAAUCUUGUAGAGAAGGGGACCAAUCACCUCUAUCAACUACUAAAGAACUAUCACUUAAGAGGUAGUCAAGCCAGCUGUUGAUCUAAAGCAGCAUGGUGUCCUGUGAAAAAAUCAGAAGGAAGAUAUGCUAGGCAAAUCAAACCACUGCCAUCACUUUAACCACCACCUCCUCUGUAGAACUGGAUGGAGAAAGCCCAAGACCUUGAUCUGAGACUUGGGAGUGGUAGCACCCACAGACCACAAGUUUUGCUUCCUAGAUUGGACCCAUAGCCAUUAUCCAGAGAAGCAACACCUUUGUUAAAUACAGUCUGGAAAUGUUUUCUGUUGGUACUAUGACCAUAGCUAAUGAAAAAAAGGAAAUUCUCAGCACUAUUGCCUUUGACAUUGCCAAAUGGAUCAACAUCAGAAACUGAUAUAACUUUAUCAGUGGAAAUGACAUGAAGCAUCACCAUUUAUAUGGGACUUUUAAAAUCUGAUUUGAGAAUGAAACAUUCUAUAAGUAAUGUUGCUAUAUGUGCUAGAAUAUGAACUCCUUAUAAACAGGAAUUGUCUCCACUUUUCUAAUUAUAUCUCCAGUGUUUAGUACAGUGUUUUACCCAUAAUGCUUAAUGAAUGUUUGUCAUUAAUUAUACCAUGGUUUGCUUUGAUAAAAAAUUCACCACCUGGUAGCUAGGUUUCUUGUUAUGAAUAUUUAACUAGUCUAAUCCUUGAAUAACUGAUACACAAUUCAAGUUGUCAAAGAGGAAUCUACGAAAUACUAAAAAUGAACAUGAAACCUAAUUCUCUCUUCUUUUCAGUUCCCAUCUGUCAGGGCCCCUGAUUUCCCCCAUCUGUUCUUGGGAAGGACUGAAGAGAAUGAACCACUUGAUCACAGAAAAUAUGAGGUAUUUCCUCUUUGAGGGACAGCUAGGUGGCAUAGUAGAUUGAGUGCUGGCCCUGGAGAUAGGAAGGCCUGAGUUCAAAUCAGAUUUCAAACACUUCCUAGCCAUGUCAUCCUGGGUAAGUUAGUUGACCCUGCUUGCUUCUCAGUUCUCUCAUCUGUAAAAUGAACUGGAGAAGCAAAUGGAAAAACCAUUCCAAUAUCUCUGCUAAGAAAACCCGGAAUGGGGCCAAGAAGAGUCAGACAUGGCCAAACAACAACUUCCCUCUUUGAGUCUGCUGGAUGGACUCACCUGAGUACAUGGACAGCCCUGUGAGCCCUUCUAUUUUAUUCAGCCUCAGAAAGUUUUUUGAGGACAAUGAUAGAGGCUAAACUUGGCUUUUAAAAAGUCGGCAUUUCUGUAGCAGUUAGAUAGUUCUUGAGAAAAUUUAGAGUCAGCAGAAUAAAGUGUAGGGCUUUGAGGAUCCAAGUCUUUCAGGACAUCUUGUUCUUUGGGAGCUAUCCAUGGUACUAGAAUUGCCUCUGCCUGAGCCAUUCAAACAUAGACCAUCUCUGUGAUUAAUUUAGUGUGCCUACUUUUUGUAAAUCUCAUACUCUUGACCAUACUUGAUUCUAGCUCUUUUUCCCUACCUUCUUCUGGUGUUUCUGUGAGUAAUUCUUUUGCAAGCCACCUACCUUGAUUUAUGUCUAGCCUGAUUUCUUCUUUAUUUAUAUUAACUACUAACCUUGUCUUUUCCUCAGUCCUUCAUCCCAUUUCUCAGGUUGAGUUCCUAGUCUCAUCAUCUGUCUUCUGUUAACUAGUGGAAGAUGUAACUUAUUUGGAAGACACCCAAUUUCCUGAAUAUUAUUUGUAGUAACUAGUAUAUAUCACUAUUUCACAAAUCUCUAAUCUUAUCUUAAAAAUAACAUCAUAAUUAUGCUUUUUAGAUCAGUUACAUACCACAGGAAGCAGGGCAUAGCAUAGCAGAUUGGGUGCUGGAUUUAGAAUCAAGAAGAUCUGGGCUUCUUCAGGUAUAAGCACAGCCCUAGGCAAAUCACUUCUUUUUUCAAGCCUCAUUUUUCUCAUCUAUAAAAUGAGGCAAAUAAUAGGACCUCCUUUCCAGAAUUCCUAUAAAGCUCAAAUUACAUGAUGUAUGUAAUGUGUUCUUCCAGCCUCAAAGUAUUAUAUAAAUGUGUGCUCAAAUUAUUGCAAUGACAAUAAUAACUAUAAUUAUGAGGGAGGAUUGUUGAUUUAGAAUUUAACCAGAUUUGAAAUUAUGGUCUUUGUGGUUCUUUAGAAUGAGAGCAUCUCAGAAUAGACUGAUAAUAUAUGGAACAAGGAUGGACCUAUCAUUUUUCUUGAUGUGCAAAUUGUCCAUUGAAUAGGUAGAGAAAAGCCUUUUCUGUGACUUCACAGACACUUCUGCUAUUGGCUUGUACCUCAAUCUCUUUAUCUCUUGAAACUGCAGUUUCUUCAUCUUUGCAUUGGCAAGAGUUCAAAGAGUUUGGCUCUGUGUUCAUGUCAGGGCCCUCAUAGGAUCUGUGAGAUACUCCUGAGAAUGUUUUCACCCCUUUUGAGUAAAGGUCAGCAUAAGUGCCUCUUGUGUUGUUGCUGCUGCUGUUGUUUUUGCAUAAAAAUCACACUAGGAGCAGGAUAGAAAGUAGAAGGAAAUUGUAAUGUAAAUGCAAAGCAGAAUAGUUCAGAGGCCCUGAAAUCAAAUACAUGGGAUAUGAAGGUUUAGUGGAUGGCCUGAAGCCAUGCAAAUUGGCAUAGGCCCAAUGGCCCACAAGAAAUUAGGUUUGACCUAAUCUCAAACAAAUAAUGGCUCUAGGAGAAGAAUCAUGUUAAUAAUAAGAAUUAUUGGCCUCACUGGAUUGCUACUACAUUCCUUCCACCUGUUGAUGCUAUUUAUGAGCACAUAUAUAUAUCCUGUACAUGGGUAAUAUUUGGGUUUUUUAGGGCAUUAGUAUAAUGCUGCUCCACCUACUUCUUUAGUGGAUUUAUGGAAUUUUCUUAAUGAAAGGUGGUGGAGAGCAGUGUCUUAUGGGAAAAGUAUAAUGACAUUGGCAAUUUAAAAUCAGUGAUGCUGAUAAUGAGAAGAAUGAUAGGAUCUUCAAAUGACGGGAGUAACAUAAGCAUUGACCAAGAUCAAUUUUCAUAUGAAUCUUGAAAAGUCUUUUCAAAGAUAUGGAAAGGGGAGAAGUCACUUUAGAAGAAAAGUGGGAGAAGAAGAACCUUCACAGAGUUCUGAGUUCCUGCGACCAAAGCAUAGACCUUCAGCAGAAACAGCUCACCAGGAGCCAGACCCAUAACAAUCUAGUAGCCUAGACUAUAGCUGUAAUUACCAGGGGUUGGAAUAGACCUCAGAAAGAGAGCAAAAAUGCUACAUACGAGGGGAACAGAUGGAAUAUCAGAGUAAAUUAGGUGCUGAUGUUGUAUAUUCCAUUGGUAUUAGUGGUGGAAUUGGGAAGAAUGACAGGCAGAGGCUGUUCUCCAAUAAGAUGGUUCAAAAUAACAUUGAUCCUUGGGGAUUCUUCCCCAUUCUCUUCCUCCUCAAACUCUUGACUCCUUAUUCUCCUUCAUGUUUAAUUAUUUAACUUGAAGGGUGAAAUUUUAAUUCUCUAUAGAUGCUGCUAUUUAGUGACCUGCCUUGUACACAGUAGGUGCUGAGUAAAUAUCUGUGGACUGAAUGAAUCAAAUUGUAGUUAAGUGGAAAGACAGAGAAUAUACCUAGCAAGGAUGUUAGAUCAUGGAUUUUUGAGCUGGAAGGGACAUUAGAGAUGAUCUAGUCUAACCCCUCAUUUAACAAAUGAAGAAAGUGAAUCAUGGAGAUGAAGAGACUUUCUCAUGAUAACAUAAAUGACUUAGUAAAAUAAAGAUAGGAUUAGCACACAAGUCCUGGGGCUCUAAAGCUAACAUUCAUUCCACUAUAUUCCACUAUUUCACCUUUAAUGUAGUGCCUAGUAGUUUCAUACUUUCCUUGAAUGCUUGCUUUCUGCCCAAAUGCCCAGGCAAAAUUUUGAAUUUGAUCAAGAAAAAGCUCUUGUGGUGGCUUUAGGUUUUCAUUUUUUAUAUAUUAGUACAUUGGGGAAUCUAUGAUUUCCCUGGAAUGGGAACUCCCCCCUGAUAACACCGAGUACAACCUAGAUAUAAAUUGUAGACUUCUAAGAUUGCCUGAGGCUCAGAUAGGUUAAAUGAUUUGCUAGUGAGAGGUAGGGUUGGAACACCCAACUUCCUGCCUCUAAUUCCAGCUUUCCUUCUAUUAAGUUUAUGCCUUCUCUUCUAUUGAUGCCAUAAUGUCAUUUAAUGAAUUUGCCAUCAAAAUAUUAAGGAGGAGUCACCUUAACUCCCCCUUUUUACCCUCAAUUCUGAAUCCUCUGAGUCUACCAGGGCUAGUUUAGACAUCUUUAUUUUUCUGAAUAUGCACCUUUGAUAUGUCUUAUUAGUUGGUCUCUGCAGUCCCUUCCAACUUUAAAUCCAUGACCCUUUAAUCUCUUGGUGACUUGCAAGGGAGUUAUACUUAUUUGAAUUGAAACCAUCUUUUUUUGAAAAUUAAAAAAAGUGCUGAUGGUACCUUCAUUUCUAAAUAUACUUUCAUCUCUCUCAUGCAGCGUUAUCCCCUAGAACAAAGAAUAGAAAAGAAAAAAUGCAAUUCAAUCAAACCAAGUAAUACAUCAAAUGAAUCUGAUAGCAUAUACUGUAUUCUAUAUCUGUAGUCGCCCACCUUGAGAAGUACACACUCUUUUAAGUUGGAAAUAGUUUUAUUAAUUUUUCUUGAGAGAUGCAAAAGCUGUGAGUUGUAAUCAGUCUUUUAUUUACGUGUCAUUCAAACAUUUUAAAAGUGAAGAAUCUUUGGGUACAAUGUAUAGAAUACAAGUUACAUUGGACCUCUGAGGCCACUUUGGUGGGGUAAGAGUGGAGGUGAAAGUCAAAAGAUCUUUUUCAUUUAUUCCUUAGAGCAAGUUAUGAACAGCAUCAGAUUGAAUGCAGGGAAGGAUUUUGUAUGUGUGAAAGAGGUUGAUAAUACCAUUAUAUGGAGCAUCCACAUGAAACAUGAAUUAACAAAUAGAACAUCAUUACCGAGGAGGUGACUGUGAUGUUGGUAGGCAUAUCAGAAAGUUUACUAUUUAAUUAUUCAGCACUUUGCUUCAGUCCAGAAUACAGACCAAGCAGGAAUCUACUUGAUGAAAAACACCAUUGGUUUGUAAGCCAGAGCACCCAGGUUAAAAUUCUGCCUCUGAUGCUUGCUGCCUAUGUAACAUUGACCUAAUUGCUUAACCCAUGUAGGUCUCAAUUUUCUUACCUUGAAAAUGAGAGGGUUGGUCUAUAUCCCUUCUAAGGCCCCUUCCAGCUCUGUAUUUAUACUUCCAUAUUCCUUUGAUUCCAUUGCACCUUGGAUGGCAUUGUUCUGUGAUUCUGAAGCAGCCACAAGCAAUGAGUAACUACAGGGCUCUGCCUUUCUUUUUUGGUGAACAUAUAGCUGCCAAUCCUAGUCUCUGUGAGACAAAAGUUCCUAAAACCAGAGGUCAGAUUAUCAGGCCCUAAAUCAGUGGUCAUUGUCCUGAUGCUAGAGCUUUUCUUUUUUCUUUCUAUUUGUGAUAGACUAUGGAACCAAAUAUAUGACUCAUACAGCCCAGUCUAGCCUGUUCCCUCUGAACCUCUGCAGUCUAUUUGGGCUCUGUGCCUUUGUGUGUAUCAGGCUUUUGACUCAGUCUCCUGAUACAUGUCAACUCCCAAAUUAUGAUCUACUCUCUCUGCUUGGACCAUUGCUAACUGAUUGUUUCUUUCCACUACUGCUAAUAAUUUGAGUCCUUUGAUACACAUUUUCUCCUUGAAUUCAUAAUAAUACUUUGUUCUUCUUAUUUGCACUGAUUCUUUUGGACUCUAAAGUUUGCCACCAUGUCUGGAUUUACAGAACUCACAGGUGUCUUCCCUAUACUAGUUGACAUUUUGGCCAUCACCUGUUAGGCUCACAGGGUUGUUUACUAUAGCUCUUGUUCAGAUUCAUUUCAUGGUCCUAGUUUCUCCCAAACUGUCUUGUUCUAUUAUUGCCCCAAACCAAGCAUGACAUUCUGCUGGAAAAGAAUGAAAAAACAGAGACCAAAAAUUCAUUAAGUUUUGUUAAUUCCUCUCAAGCAUUAUUGAUUGGGAUAGGAUUAGGGAUAGAAGAGCCCUCUUACUGUCCUGCACCAGUUGUCGAUAUCUGUCUUUUAGAAAUGAGAUUGAGAAAAUUAAGCAGUCAUAUAAUAUCAACUGCUCAAUGUUUUCCACUUUAAAAUCAAAUAGUGAGAAGCAAUGGUAUUUCAUAGGAAUGUAUUUUUGCUGUUAUCAGAUUGGAAUGCCCACAUGCAAAGAUUGAUUUUCUUGACGCUCAGCUCUGAUCAGAACAGUCCUUGCUCAAAAAUCUAUUUCCAAGUAUAGUCUAAAUUGUUUUUUCCUGGAAUUUAAGAUGUUCCAUGAUUUGGUGUCAACCUAAUUUCCUAACCUUAUAUUCUACUCUUCUCUCUUUUUUUUGAAGUCUCUUUAUACUCUGGGUAAUUGUUACUAUUUGUCCAGAAACAUCCCAACCUUCCUACUUCUGUGCCUUUUUUAUACCAUUCAUACUGCCUACGAGGCCCUUUCCCUUCUAGAAGCAUGAAGUCCAAAAGAGUAUAGAUGCCACUUUAUUUCUUUAAAUUAAGUUCAUAUUGAUAUAUUUUAUUUUUUACAUUCCCACAAUUGCCCCUAGUAUUCUUCCCCUCACCCCAACCUUGAGUCAUCCUAUACAAUAAAUAGUAAUUUUUUAAAAGAUCAUGAAAAGAAAAAGAUGGAAAAAUAAGUACAAAUGAUAAAACAUUGAAAAAGUUGGAACAUGUGCUCAAGGUAAUAUAUUAUGCCCUCUCCCCCACUAUUUGAAAAGGGAGGGGUUGGGGAUGUUUUCUCAUAUUUCUUCUUUCAAUCCAGGCUUCAUUUUGAACAUUUAAUUUUUAUUUCUUUGGUUGUUCUUUUAUUUUAAUUUUAUGUUGUAGUUAUUAUAUAUAAUUUCUUGGCUCUGCUUACUUUGCUCUAUAAUAGUUUAUAUAGAUAUUUCCAUGCUUCUCCUUAUUCAUCAGUUAUCAUUUUAUACAACUAGGCAUUCCAUUUCAUUCAUAUGAAAAUGUUUUUAAAGCUAAUCUCCACUUGCUAAGCAUUAAUUUUGUUUCUAAUUCCUUGCUAUCACAAAAAUAUUGCUAUUAAUAUUUUUGCAUAUAUAGGGACUUCCAUUUUAUUAAUGGCCUUCUUGGGGCAUACUCAUAGUAGUGAAAUCUCUGAGUCCAAUAGCAUAUAUAUUUGAGUCACUUUAUUGGCAUAAAUCAAAAUUUAUUUCCAAAGUGUCUGUACUGUUUACAAUCCCACCAAUAAUACACUUGUAUGCCAAUCUCCCUACAACCACUCUGACAUUGAUUAUUCUUUUCUCAUCUUUACUAGUUUUGAAAAUAUGAGAUGAAAUUCCAAGGUUGUUUUGCUUUACAUUUCUCUAAUUAUUGGAGAUUUUGAGAUUUUCACAUAGUUAAUAGUUUGGAAUUUUUGAGAACUUUUUGUCUAUAUUCUUUGAUCAUAUCUAUUAGAGAAUGGCUUUUGGAUAUGUCUGUCUGUCUAAUCUCUUUGUAUAUCUAUUUAUCCAUCCAUAUCUAUCUAUCUAUCUAUCUAUCUAUCUAUCUAUCUAUCUAUCUAUCUACUUAUCUUUCUAUCUAUCUGUCUGUCUGUCUGUCUAUCUUCUUUGGAUGCCAAACUCUUAUUGGUGAAAUUUGAUACUAAGAUUUUCUCCUAUUUGAUCACUUCCUUUCGUAUUCCAGGUACAUUAAAUUUAUUCGUUACAGCCUAUCCAUGACCACCACACACUUCUCCAUUGCCUUUGGGUGCUUUUCAAUUUGAUUUAUUUAGUACCUAUAGUGUUCUAUGACUCAUAGCCACAUAUCAACACCAGAAAGAUAUUUGUUUCAGUUCAUUAAAAGAAUGAUUUGUGUAGCAUGAGUAGUAAUUGCUCUUUAAAUAUUUUACAGAUUUCAUUGUCAAUCUGUCUGAACCAGUGAUUCCUCCUUCCCCACUCCUUUGGAAUUCUAAAGGAGCUCCUUUGAUAAUUUCAUUAUAGCUUUCACUUCAUGAUUUCACUUCUUGAGAGUGGGUUGAUUCUCUCAAUACUUGUUCUUUUAUGUUGGCUGGUUUACCAUUUUGUUUAUAAUACUCCAUGAAAUUCCCAGUUUUGCUAACUUAUAUAUAGAGGCAGUGAAGAGGAAAGAGAAGUGGUUUUGUAAUCAGUAAGACCAGGAUUCCCAUCCCACUUUUACAAUAUAUGGCUAUGUGAUUGCAGGCAAAUCAUAGAGACUCCCAAUGUUGCAGGCAACUCUGUAAAGCUAUAUGUGGCAGAGAAAGUAUACUGCUAGAUAAUUCCUCACUGAGAACUCAUUUCUGGACUGUGGUGAUUCUUUUUAUUUCUUUUAUGUCCCAUUUCACUUUUGGAUAGUUUUAAUUACUAGAAAAUUUUCUUCUUGAUACCAUGCAUAAAUUUUAUUCUGUCCAAAUUUCACUCAUUGGAAUGAUGGACCAUGCAUGGAGGUGAAAUAAAACAAGUCUGAUACCUCUUCCAUGUAACUUUUUAAAUACUUGAAGGUUAUUAUCAUAUUAUCUCUGACUCUUUUCUUCUCCAGGCUACAUGUCUGCAGUCUCUUCAACUAAUUCUCUUAUAGCAUGAAUUCAAGGCCCUUCUCCACCCUGGUUGCUUUCCUACUCUCUACUUUAUCAAUGCCCUUCUUAAAUUUUGGUGCUGAUGACUGAGCUUAAAGGAAAAUGUUACUUAAUAAAUUAGCAGGGAAAUAAUGUCAAGGUUUUCUUUUGAUUCUAAACCAAAGAAAAACUGGCAAUAAUUACUUUACAAUUAUUUGGCAAGGACUGCUUGAUAGCUUAUAGGCUGCUUUCUAGUAUUAUAUAAAUACGAAGUGGGGAGAAUUUAGGCUAACUAAUACAAAAUAAUGAUAAAAAAGGAAAAGGGCCAUAAUAGAUGAAAGGGUGGUGGUGGUGGAAAAUUAUCUUCCCUAAGAGAAAUGUCUGUCAUAAUGCUUAUAUUACUUUUCAGGGAAGUGGGAAGAAUGGAAAGAUAUUAUUUUUAAAAUCGACAAACUCUUGUUGACAUGACUGACCAUAAUGGCAUUUCUCAUGAUACCCGGUUCAGAUAGAUGCUCUCAGAGUAAACAGUGACCCAGGCACUCAUUUAUUUUUUCACUAAUCGCCAAGGUGUGCUGCCUGCACCACUAAGCUAUGGAUUAUGUCCUUCAUUUGAGGAUGAGAAAAACUAAAGAAUGACUUACUAUUCUAGGAUUUCAAUAACUAAAAUUUGAACAGUCUAGGGGAAAGAAGGUAGUUUUUCAUAUUUAUUCAAUCUAGAAUGUCUUAGUAACUUCAGUUCCUAAAAAUGCCUGGGUUGCAGGUUGAGAAUCCAUAGGUGUUUUGCAUGACUGCAUAUGUAUAAUCUAUAUCAAAUUGCUUGUCUUCUCAGGGAGGGGAAAGUGUGAGAGGGAGAGAAUUUGAAACUCAAAAUAGAACAAAUGAAUUAGAAAAAUUUUAAUGUGUAAUUGAGAAAAAAGAAAAAUUAAAUGAGACUCCAUGGGGGUAAUCCACAUUAUUAAUUUUGACAAAUGAAGGAGGAAAGAAAUAAUAGUAAUUAUUAAACCAUUGGAAAACUUGUUAUCAAAUCACCCGACAUCAUCUGUUAUAUCUCUCAAUUUUGUGCAAAUGACCCUUAUGACUGGAAUGGGUUUCCUUCUUCCCCUUGCUGUACAGAAUAUUUAGUUUCAUCAAAGCACAGCUUAGGAGCCACAUAUAACAUGAGACAUUUCUUGAACCCUUCCCUUAAAAUCCCAUCCCCACGAGUGUUUGAUUCCCUCACUCUAGGAUGACUGCAAAAGCUCUGUGCUCUGCUAGUAAUUUCCAUUAUUUAUUUGUGUAUAUGCUAUAUGUCACUAGGAGAAUGAUGACAGUCUGCCUCUUGAAAUGAUUUUGUAUUAUUAUAUAGUAUUUUAUAAUUAUACAUGCAUUAUAUAUUCCCUAUAAGAAGGUUAGUUUUUUUGAGGACAGGGGCCAUUUUGUUUUUAUAAUUUUAGCACCUAAAAUAAUACUUUGCCUAUAGGGAUAGGGAUAAAGACUGGAUCUGUAAUUAGCAAAUGAGGAAAUUUCUUCUAUCAGGUCAGGUUGGUAGCAGCACCUCUUCAAUCUUAGAGGGUUGCCUAGAGCACUCACUGAAAGGUUUAGAGCCUUGUCCAAGGCCAUCCAACUAAUCAGAGGCAGGACCUGAACUCAUAACUAUUCUGGUUUUGUGGUCAGCUCUUUCUCUGUCUCUAUUCGUCUGUCUGUCUGUCUGUUUCUCUCUCCCUUCUAUAAUGUGCAGCCUAGAAGACAACAAUUAAUAAAUGUUUGUUAAAUGAAGAUGUUUUGGGUGUAGUUCUGUUGUUUCCCAGAAUGACACACAAUGAUCCCAUUCGAAAUCCUUCUGUAAGUGCAUGCUAAUGCAAUUAUUGCCUGGCUGCAUUUUUAUCCUGUACCUCUGGUUGAUUUAUAUUACUAGUGGAAAGGAAGUAUCUGUACACUUGUCAUUGAAAUGGACUACUCUGAAAUUUGA